rnacentral:tRNA from 3 species
AGAAAAGUAAGCUAAGUUAAGCUAAUGGGUUCAUACCCCAUAUAUAGAGUAUAACACUCUCUUCUCUA